ACUAUCUUUAAGAAGAAAGUUUUGUAAGAGUUUUCGUCUUGGAAGUUUGUUUCAGAGCAAGAAUAGUGAAUUUAAGCGUUAUCGCUUUAGGAGGAAAUUUCAUGCUAGAAGGUAAAGUAAAAUGGUUUAACUCUGAAAAAGGUUUCGGAUUCAUCGAAGUUGAAGGACAAGACGAUGUAUUCGUUCACUUCUCUGCUAUUCAAGGCGAAGGCUUCAAAACUUUGGAAGAAGGCCAAUCCGUAACUUUCGAAAUCGUCGAAGGAAACCGCGGACCUCAAGCUUCUAACGUAGAAAAAGCUUAAUAAGCUUUUCUUCAGGACUGCUGACUUUGUCGGCAGUCUUUUU
rnacentral:other from 1 species